GUAGUCUGCAACUCGACUACAUGAAGCUGGAAUCGCUAGUAAUCGCGAAUCAGAAUGUCGCGGUGAAUACGUUCCCGGGUCUUGUACACACCGCCCGUCACACCAUGAGAGUUGAGAAUACCCGAAGCCCAUGUCAAAGUGGUCGAAGGUAGGCUUGAUGAUUGGGGUGAAGUCGUAACAAGGUAUC
rnacentral:rRNA from 1 species